AUUGAACGCUGGCGGCAGGCCUAACACAUGCAAGUCGAACGAGUGGCGGACGGGUGAGUAAUGUCUAGGAAACUGCCCGAUGGAGGGGGAUAACUACUGGAAACGGUAGCUAAUACCGCAUACCAUCGGAUGUGCCCAGAUGGGAGUAGCUAGUUGGUGGGGUAAUGGCUAACCUAGGCGACGAUCCCUAGCUGGUCUGAGAGGAUGACCAGCCACAUUGGAACUGAGACACGGUCCAGACUCCUACGGGAGGCAGCAGUGGGGAAUAUUGCACAAUGGGCGCAAGCCUGAUGCAGCCAUGCCGCGUGUAUGAAGAAGCCCUUCGGGUUUUAAAGUACGUUCAGCGGGUAGGCGUUACCCGCAGAAGAAGCACCGGCUAACUCCGUGCCAGCCGCCGCGGUAAUUC
rnacentral:rRNA from 1 species